rnacentral:rRNA from 1 species
UACAGAGGGUGCAAGCGUUAAUCGGAAUUACUGGGCGUAAAGCGUGCGUAGACGGUUAUUUAAGUCAGGUGUGAAAGCCCCGGGCUCAACCUGGGAAUUGCAUUUGAGACUGAAUAGCUAGGGUGCGGAAGAGGGAAGCGGAAUUUCCGGUGUAGCGGUGAAAUGCGUAGAUAUCGGAAGGAACACCAGUGGCGAAAGCGGCUUCCUGGUCCUUAACUGACGCUGAGGCGCGAAAGCAUGGGGAGCGAACGGG